AGAGUUUGAUCCUGGCUCAGAGCGAACGUUAGCGGCACGCUUAACACAUGCAAGUCGCACGAGAAGGGGGCAACCCCUGACAGUGGCGCACGGGUGCGUAACACGUAGAUAACCUGCCUCUUGGAGGGGGACAACGUUCCGAAAGGAGCGCUAAUACCGCAUAAUGCUGAGACUGGUUUGCCAGUUUUGGACAAAGCUAGGGACCGGCAACGGCCUAGCGCCAAGAGAGGGGUCUGCGGCCCAUCAGCUAGUUGGUAAGGUAAUGGCUUACCAAGGCAGAGACGGGUAGCUGGUCUGAGAGGAUGAUCAGCCACACUGGUACUGGAACACGGACCAGACUCCUACGGGAGGCAGCAGUGGGGAAUCUUGGUCAAUGGGCGCAAGCCUGAACCAGCGAUGCCGCGUGAGUGAUGAAGGCCUUCGGGUUGUAAAGCUCUGUGGGGAGGGACGAAAGAAUCGGUUCUAACAGGACCGAAGUUGACGGUACCUCCUUAGCAAGCACCGGCUAACUCUGUGCCAGCAGCCGCGGUAAGACAGAGGGUGCAAACGUUGCUCGGAAUCACUGGGCGUAAAGGGCGUGUAGGCGGGAAGGUAAGUCGGGCGUGAAAUCCCUGAGCUCAACUCAGGAACUGCACUCGAAACUACUUUUCUUGAGUGCCGGAGAGGAAAGCGGAAUUCCUGGUGUAGAGGUGAAAUUCGUAGAUAUCAGGAGGAACACCAGUGGCGAAGGCGGCUUUCUGGACGGUAACUGACGCUGAGACGCGAAAGCGUGGGGAGCAAACAGGAUUAGAUACCCUAGUAGUCC
rnacentral:rRNA from 1 species